UACAGAGGUCUCAAGCGUUGUUCGGAUUCAUUGGGCGUAAAGGGUGUGUAGGUGGCGCGCUAAGUCGGGUGUGAAAUUUCGGAGCUUAACUCCGAAACUGCAUUCGAUACUGGCGUGCUUGAGGACUGGAGAGGAGACUGGAAUUCAUGGUGUAGCAGUGAAAUGCGUAGAGAUCAUGAGGAAGACCAGUGGCGAAAGGCGGGUCUCUGGACAGUUCCUGACACUGAGACACGAAGGCCAGGGGAGCAAACGGG
rnacentral:rRNA from 1 species